GGGUCAGUAGGUUGGUCGUGCCACCGGUACGUACUGGUCUCACUGAUUCCUCCUUCCUGAAGAACCGUAAUGCCAUUAAUUUGGUGUUGCGGGGGAACAGGAUUGUUACUUUGAAAAAAUUAGAGUGUUUAAAGCAAGCUAACGCUUGAAUACAUUAGCAUGGAAUAAUGAAAUAGGACGAUCGAUCCUAUUUUGUUGGUUUCUAGGAUUGACGUA
rnacentral:rRNA from 1 species